ACUACGGGAUGCAGCAGUAGGGAAUAUUGCUCAAUGGGGGAAACCCUGAAGCAGCAACGCCGCGUGGAGGAUGAAGGUUUUCGGAUUGUAAACUCCUUUUGUUAGAGAAGAUAAUGACGGUAUCUAACGAAUAAGCACCGGCUAACUCCGUGCCAGCAGCCGCGGUAAUACGGAGGGUGCAAGCGUUACUCGGAAUCACUGGGAUUAAAGAGCGCGUAGGCGGGAUAGCAAGUCAGAUGUUAAAUCCUAUGGCUUAACCAUAGAACUGCAUUUGAAACUGUGAUUCUAGAGUAUUGGAGAGGUAGGUGGAAUUCUUGGUGUAGGGGUAAAAUCCGUAGAGAUCAAGAGGAAUACUCAUUGCGAAGGCGACCUGCUAGAACAUAACUGACGCUGAUGCGCGAAAGCGUGGGGAGCAAACAGGAUUAGAUACCCGAGUAGUC
rnacentral:rRNA from 1 species